UCUGCCAUGGGGAUAGUGGCCUCUGCUGUGGUCUCCCCUGCUUUCUUUUUCCUGUUUUGAUCUCUGACAAGACUUGCUGCCCUUGAAGGACAGGGUUAGCCCAGAAGGUUUUUGUUGCUAAGCCACUGACUUGCGAUUCAGGGUAUGUGUCUUCCUCCAGGUGCUGCUGCAGACUCCCACCAUCACCCUGGGUAGGUUGCCCAGGCUCAGGUACACACGGGGUUUUGGAGACCAAGCUGCUGUUCAGGUGUCUGCUUUCUCAAGGAGGUCACUCAGCUGUGGGGGUGAUCCUCAUGACUUCAGGGCACAGCAUUGAGUCUCUGGGCUAAGUCCCUUAUACAAGCACGAACUCAGCAAAGGAUUUCAUAUCUGGAGAAAGGAGAAGCUGCUCGCUUUGGCUGCCAGAUCCUUCUUGUUCCUGUUGAUUGAUUCUGUGAGACCGUUUUCCUGGUGGUCACGGCUGCUUUCAGAAACCACUUAUGGUGUGCUGAUGAAAAGGCCAGCUUUGUGAGUAAACAUCCUAAUAAGCAGGUCUUGACAGAUGGUUUGUUGCUGAAGCCCCGCAUAACCUUACAGCUGCUGUUGGUGUCUCCCACAGAUGUUUCCCUGGAGAACUUCCCCUCAGCGUGCUCCAAAGCUCUCCACUUUCACAGCACUCCCAGCUGCAAUCAAAGCAGAAGCUUCGGUGCCUGCUUGACACAUUGCUCGUAUGGCUUUUGGUACAACAGAGACCUCUGGAAAGGCAAUUCUCACAGCGUUGAUAAAAAUGACCUGGUGGAGUCUAUUGGUGAUGCUGAGCAGGAGUGGCCUGAGCCAUCCUGUCCUACCCAGCCACACUAGAAGAUUGCUUUUUCUUGGCAGCCCUCCGAACAUGUUGAGGUGAGUAGAAAGAAAAAUUUUCCUUCCAAAAACGCUGAGGUGAGUUGGAAAGAGGUCUGCUAUAGAUUAGCUACAUGUCAAUAGUAUUUUGGUUAUGUGAGUGUUUCCAGGCUGAGCGGGAGAGCUUGAGGUAGUAUCUUCCCCAGUGACACAACACCAAGAUAAAGUCAAUCCUCUUCCCAAUUUCCACUUGGAAACUUGAACAUUUUGCUCAUCAGUGAGCAAGAGUCACUACAAAUGCUACCAGCUGCACAGUAGCUCGGCGUUUCUUCUGAUUCACCCAGAAAUACAGAUUUGCUGAGGCUAUUGGAAACUAGCUAACUAGAUUGUGCAAUGUAGGAAAUGUAUUAGCGUGUGGCUAGGCAGCCGCUUAGCACAGCUUGCCAAAAUCUCUCUGGCUGCGUAGGCUUUUCCUCUGUAUUUACUGUCCUUUCAUCUUCAUUAACCUUUUAUAGCUCUGUCUGAUUACUGUAGCUUUCCCACCAUUUCCUUCCAAAAUGUCACUCUGACAGCUUUGUUAUGGGCAGUCAAUAUCGAUGUUGGCCAUUGCAGGGUUGUUAACAUCUAAGAGAGUGAUUGAGAUGGGAUGGAGCUGUCUACAAGAAAGGCUGCCUGUCCGAGCGCUGCUGAAGUUGCAAGGAGUGCGCGCUAGAGAAGAGCCGGAGCCGGAGCGUGUUAACAGCAGUCACUGCACGAAACGCACCUCCGUGGCUCUCCCGGAUCGUUGAUAACAUUGUGAGAAAUUCAACAGCUUCUGGAACACAUUGAACUGCCGAAGAAGCGGCCAGCUUUGCUCUUUUGCGACUGAUUUUUGGGGCCAAGUUUAGAACAAACAAACAAAAAAAUGUUUCUGUUAAAGAGUUUGGAAGAGAUGCUUGUCAGCUGCUGCAGUCCUUAUGAGCCCGGGUGUGGCUUUUUUGGGCAUAACUCAGAGAUUUGCAUUGUCUAGCAGCUAGCUAGG
ensembl:lncRNA